rnacentral:miRNA from 2 species
UGAGAUCACGCGUAUAUUCGC